rnacentral:tRNA from 1 species
GGCUUGGUGGUCUAAUGGCUAGCGCUUCUGCUUGGUAAGCAGGAGAUCAUGGGUUCAAUCCCAGGUCUCUGCCA